rnacentral:rRNA from 1 species
UCCUACGGGAGGCAGCAGUGGGGAAUAUUGCACAAUGGGCGCAAGCCUGAUGCAGCCAUGCCGCGUGUGUGAAGAAGGCCUUCGGGUUGUAAAGCACUUUCAGCGAGGAGGAAGGUGGUGAGCUUAAUACGCUCAUCAAUUGACGUUACUCGCAGAAGAAGCACCGGCUAACUCCGUGCCAGCAGCCGCGGUAAUACGGA